rnacentral:misc_RNA from 1 species
UUUCCGUAGGUGAACCUGCGGAAGGAUCAUUACAGAGUUCAUGCCCUCACGGGUAGAUCUCCCACCCUUGAAUAUUUAUACCUUAGUUGCUUUGGCAGGCCGUGGAAACACCAUGGGCUCCGGCUUAUGCGUGCCUGCCAGAGGAAACAAACUCUGUUUUUAGUGAUGUCUGAGUACUAUAUAAUAGUUAAAAUUUUCAACAACGGAUCUCUUGGUUCUG